CUCUCGCCUUUAGAUUGGCCAAGUGGGAUUAGCUAGUUGGUGAGGUAAUGGCUCACCAAGGCGACGAUCCCUAGCUGGUUUGAGAGGAUGAUCAGCCACACUGGGACUGAGACACGGCCCAGACUCCUACGGGAGGCAGCAGUGGGGAAUAUUGCACAAUGGGCGCAAGCCUGAUGCAGCCAUGCCGCGUGUGUGAAGAAGGCCUUCGGGUUGUAAAGCACUUUCAGUCAGGAGGAAAAGGUUAGGUACGGUUAACUACCCGUUAGCUGUGACGUUACUGACAGAAGAAGCACCGGCUAACUCCGUGCCAGCAGCCGCGGUAA
rnacentral:rRNA from 1 species